rnacentral:rRNA from 1 species
AUACGGAGGGUCCAAGCGUUAUCCGGAAUCAUUGGGUUUAAAGGGUCCGCAGGCGGUCAAUUAAGUCAGAGGUGGAAGCCCAUCGCUCAACGAUGGAACUGCCUUUGAUACUGGUUGACUUGAGUUAUACGGAAGUAGAUAGAAUAAGUAGUGUAGCGGUGAAAUGCAUAGAUAUUACUUAGAAUACCGAUUGCGAAGGCAGUCUACUACGUAUAUACUGACGCUGAGGGACGAAAGCGUGGGGAGCGAACAGGAUUAGAAACCCCAGUAGUCC